CACGUAGGGCGCAAGCGUUGUCCGGAAUUACUGGGCGUAAAGCGCACGUAGGCGGCUUUGUAAGUUAGAGGUGAAAGCCCGGGGCUCAACCCCGGAAUUGCCUUUAAGACUGCAUCGCUUGAAUCCGGGAGAGGUGAGUGGAAUUCCGAGUGUAGAGGUGAAAUUCGUAGAUAUUCGGAAGAACACCAGUGGCGAAGGCGGCUCACUGGACCGGUAUUGACGCUGAGGUGCGAAAGCGUGGGGAGCAAACAGG
rnacentral:rRNA from 1 species